rnacentral:rRNA from 1 species
ACGGAGGAUGCGAGCGUUAUCCGGAUUCAUUGGGUUUAAAGGGUGCGUAGGCGGACUAUUAAGUCAGUGGUGAAAUCCUGCAGCUUAACUGCAGAACUGCCAUUGAUACUGAUAGCCUUGAGUUUGGUUAAGGUAGGCGGAAUGUGUAAUGUACCUCUGAAAUGCUUAGCUUUUACACAGAACCCCAUUUGCGUAGGCAUCUUACUUAUCCUACUCUGCCGCUUAUGCCCGCAAUCGUGUUGAUCGAACAG